AGGGCUUGAACCACCGACCAACACGGCAGUCAAUUCGAAAUCUUAAUGGUUUUCCAUUUGUGGUUUUGUAGACAUGUUCGUAUUGAAUGUCUGAAGCAUGCGGAUUCCAUUGUAAUAUCCGGAGGAUAAAACUUUUAAUGGCAGUUUUUUCGGUAUGUGGAUAUUGAAUUAUCAUUGUUCCACUAUUAAUUGUUCCGAAAGUAAUUGAAAGUUAAAUAGAGUUUGCUUUUAGAACCAGCCACUAUUCAUCACUUUCGGCUGAAACAAGAAUUCCUCCUUUUAAAUAUAGAAGACAACGACUCUUUUCGAAUUACGCUGUUAACAUUUUAGCGCAGCCUAAUCACCCCAAUUACCCAACAUUCAAUGAAGACACUGAUGACGUUUACGAAAACCGACCCACGAUAACAAGGCCAGCUCAAAUGAGGUUCAAAGAAAUACUGAACUUUACUCAGUAUACAGUUCCAGCCAUUUAUAAUUAUAAACCUGGAGAAAUUCCUCCUUGGGAAUUGGGAAAAGUGAGAGUGAAUCUUAAAAUCAGCCAUACUGCAAAAGAUGGUAAUCAAGAUAUCUUGUGGGCAGAAUUCAACAAACUCCUCUCAACUUAAACUGGAUUCAUAAUUAUUUACACCGAUGGAUCAAAAACCCAAGAAGGUACUGGAUGUGCGUUCACUAGUCAAGGUUCGACUCACAGUUGGAUAUUACCUACAUAAACAAGUAUUUUCACAUCCAAAUUAUACGCUAUCCUACAAGCAACCUAGUUUUGUCAAUUCCAUAAUGAAAUACAAUUUCUCAUUUGUACGGACUCCUUAAGCUCACUACACGCACUAGAAAAUUCAUUCAAUAAAGAUCCACUGGUACAGACCAUAUUGGCAUCCAUACACUGGACGAAUGGGAAUGGAAAACACAUCGAAUUUGCAUGGACUCCUAGUCACCAAGGAAUCUCGACUAAUGAAUUAGCAGAUCAGGCAGCCAAACGAGCUACUGAAAUACCUGAUGUUUGUAAUGAUAUUCCUAUUCGACUGGAAGACGUGAAAGAUUAUUUUAAACAACAGAUUAUGGAUGUAUGGCAAACUGAAUGGGAGGAAACAGAUGCAGAAUUGAAAGAGGUGAAGCCAAAAAUCACACCCUGGAGGCAUUCUAUUCCAAAGACACGAAGAGAACAAACUGUGAUUACACGCUUGAGAAUAGGUCAUACCAACUUAACUAACAUAUUCAUGCUCUCAGGAGAACAACAACCAUUAUGCCAACAAUGUAGACAGAGACUAACAGUGAAAUAUAUCUUACUAAAUUGUGUCCAAUAUGAUGAAGCUAGACAACGAUUUGAAAUACCAAAUUCUAUGAAGGAAUGUUUGAAAAAUCAUAAUGAAAGUCUGGAUAGAAUUAUAAAUCUAUGAAAGCUAUUGGGCUAUUCUCAAAAAUUCAAACAAGAAAGCAAAUGAUGAACAAACUAAUAGUAGAAGACCAAUGACCUCUUUUUCUCGCCAAUUUUAUGAGUGAGCGGUACCCACAUAUGGUCACGCAGUGAUAAUGAAAUAACUGAAGAAUCGUCUCUUUGAUGAAGGCGAUUGCUUGUCAUUUGUUGCGGAAAUAAAUCGUGAAUAAAAGAAGAUCCUCUAGAUAGGCAGGUGAAGCCGUCUUCAACGAUAAAAUUAGGUUUCUGGAUGUUUCUUUCAGCAUAUAUUUGAAAUGACCAACUGAAAACUACAAUAUGUGAAGGUCUAACUGAAAAAAAUACAGUUUGAGUGAUGAAUAAAAUGAUUCUAUAACCUGA
rnacentral:lncRNA from 1 species